rnacentral:rRNA from 1 species
UGUCUGGGAAACUGCCUGAUGGAGGGGGAGUAACUACUGGAAACGGUAGCUAAUACCGCAUAACGUCGCAAGACCAAAGAGGGGGGACCUUCGGGCCUCUUGCCAUCGGAUGUGCCCAGAUGGGAUUAGCUAGUAGGUGGGGUAACGGCUCACCUAGGCGACGAUCCCUAGCUGGUCUGAGAGGAUGACCAGCCACACUGGAACUGAGACACGGUCCAGACUCCUACGGGAGGCAGCAUG